ensembl:lncRNA
AUGGGCAUAAAACCACCCUUGGAGGUUUGGGGAGGAUUAUGGUGUUGCGGAGGCAAGCCUCCAGGCCCCAUCUGAAAAUGGGACAAUUUGAUCUUGGUCCCCAGCCUGCCUGUUUGUUCACUCAGCGCUGGAGAAAGGGGCUCAUUGCCUGAAGGGCAGCCUGGUCCAUCCUUAGACAAUGCUGUGCACUGUGCCUCGGAGCUCAAGCUCACGUCCCUCAAACUCCUCUGGGAAUCUCUCUGACCCUGGAGCCCAGCACUGAGGUCACUCUCCAGAAAAUCCUAAGCCACAGAUAAGCAGCUGCCAAUAAGUUUUGUAAAAAGCCAUCUCAGGGUGUUUGCCAAUGAAACCAGCGUAGCAGCAUAGUUUUAUUCAGAGUUGUCAGUCUGAGGAAGGGUUUCCCAGGUGGCUUGGUGGUAAAGACCCUGCCUGCCAAUGCAGAAGAUGCAGGAUCAAUCCCUGGGUCGGGAAGAUCCCCUGGAGACGGAAAUGGCAAUGCACCCCAGUAUUCUUGCCUAGUAAAUUCCAUGGACAGAGGAGCCUGGCAGGCUACAGUCUGUGGGGUUGCAAAGAGUUGGACAUGACAGAACACGAACGCGUGUCAGUCUGAGGCAGCACACAGGCACUCUGAUGAGUGGGAAUGUGGCAGAAUCAUCUUAAUAAUAAGGGCUCACCCAGACCAGGUGUCAGGCACUAUUCAAAUGCUUUCACGUGGAGCAACUCAUCUAGUACUUCCAACCCUUCAGUGAGGCAGGUGCUAGGAAAUGGAGACUUAGAGAGGUCAAGUGACUUGCCCCAGGUCCCACAGC